GACGAACGCUGGCGGCGUGCUUAACACAUGCAAGUCGAACGGUAAGGCCUUUCGGGGUACACGAGUGGCGAACGGGUGAGUAACACGCGGGUGAUCUGCCCUGCACUUCGGGAUAAGCCUGGGAAACUGGGUCUAAUACCGGAUAGGACCACUGCCUGCAUGGGGGGUGGUGGAAAGCUUUUGCGGUGUGGGAUGGGCCCGCGGCCUAUCAGCUUGUUGGUGGGGUGAUGGCCUACCAAGGCGACGACGGGUAGCCGGCCUGAGAGGGUGACCGGCCACACUGGGACUGAGAUACGGCCCAGACUCCUACGGGAGGCAGCAGUGGGGAAUAUUGCACAAUGGGCGCAAGCCUGAUGCAGCGACGCCGCGUGAGGGAUGACGGCCUUCGGGUUGUAAACCUCUUUCAGCACCGACGAAGCGCAAGUGACGGUAGGUGCAGAAGAAGGACCGGCCAACUACGUGCCAGCAGCCGCGGUAA
rnacentral:rRNA from 1 species